UACGUAGGGACCAAGCGUUGUUCGGAUUUACUGGGCGUAAAGGGCGCGUAGGCGGCGUGACAAGUCACUUGUGAAAUCUCCGGGCUUAACUCGGAACGGCCAAGUGAUACUGUCGUGCUAGAGUGCAGAAGGGGCAAUCGGAAUUCUUGGUGUAGCGGUGAAAUGCGUAGAUAUCAAGAGGAACACCUGAGGUGAAGACGGGUUGCUGGGCCGACACUGACGCUGAGUGCGCGAAAGCCAGGGGAGCAAACGGG
rnacentral:rRNA from 1 species